UGAACGCUGGCGGUAGGCCUACCACAUGCAAGUCGAACGGCAGCACAGUAAGAGCUUGCUCUUACGGGUGGCGAGUGGCGGACGGGUGAGGAAUACAUCGGAAUCUACUUUUUCGUGGGGGAUAACGUAGGGAAACUUACGCUAAUACCGCAUACGACCUACGGGUGAAAGCAGGGGAUCUUCGGACCUUGCGCGAAUGAAUGAGCCGAUGUCGGAUUAGCUAGUUGGCGGGGUAAAGGCCCACCAAGGCGACGAUCCGUAGCUGGUCUGAGAGGAUGAUCAGCCACACUGGAACUGAGACACGGUCCAGACUCCUACGGGAGGCAGCAGUGGGGAAUAUUGGACAAUGGGCGCAAGCCUGAUCCAGCCAUACCGCGUGGGCGAAGAAGGCCUUCGGGUUGUAAAGCCCUUUUGUUGGGAAAGAAAAGCAGCAGGUUAAUACCCCGCUGUUCUGACGGUACCCAAAGAAUAAGCACCGGCUAACUUCGUG
rnacentral:rRNA from 1 species